rnacentral:rRNA from 1 species
UGGGGAAUAUUGGACAAUGGGCGAAAGCCUGACCCAGCAACGCCGCGUGAAGGAUGAGGUAUUUCGGUAUGUAAACUUCGUAAGAAUAGGAAGAAUAAAUGACGGUACUAUUUGUAAGGUCCGGCUAACUACGUGCCAGCAGCCGCGGUAAUACGUAGGGACCAAGCGUUGUUCGGAUUUACUGGGCGUAAAGGGCGCGUAGGCGGUGUGUCAAGUCAGUUGUGAAAUCUCCGAGCUUAACUCGGAACGGUCAACUGAUACUGUCACACUAGAGUACAGAAGGGGCAAUCGGAAUUCUUGGUGUAGCGGUGAAAUGCGUAGAUAUCAAGAGGAACACCUGAGGCGAAGGCGGGUUGCUGGGCUGAUACUGACGCUGAGGCGCGAAAGCUAGGGUAGCAAACGGGAUUAGAUACCCCAGUAGUCCCUGAG